CCAGAUGUUUGUCCUCGGUAUCCAUCUUGAUGACAUACAAGGUUUUCUCCUGCACCAUGUCAGGGGAAACUUCCUUAACUUGUUUGUUCAUUCUUUGCUUGUUAGCCACCUUCUUAGUAGUCUUGUCCUCAAUCUUGUGCUGCACGUUACUUGCUACCUUCUUCUUAAUCUUGUUCUCAGUCUUUGCCUGCUCGGUCUCGUUCCUUUUCAUCAAACCAGAUGUAACUUUUCCACCCCGAUUUUUCGCUG
rnacentral:lncRNA from 1 species